GUAGGGAAUCUUCCACAAUGGACGAAAGUCUGAUGGAGCAACGCCGCGUGAGUGAAGAAGGUCUUCGGAUCGUAAAACUCUGUUGUUAGAGAAGAACGUGCAUGAUAGUAACUGAUCAUGUAAUGACGGUAUCUAACCAGAAAGCCACGGCUAACUACGUGCCAGCAGCCGCGGUAAUACGUAGGUGGCAAGCGUUGUCCGGAUUUAUUGGGCGUAAAGGGAACGCAGGCGGUUUUUUAAGUCUGAUGUGAAAGCCUUCGGCUUAACCGAAGAAUAGCAUUGGAAACUGGAAGACUAGAGUGCAGAAGAGGAGAGUGGAAGUCCAUGUGUAGCGGUGAAAUGCGUAGAUAUAUGGAGGAACACCAGUGGCGAAAGCGGCUCUCUGGUCUGUAACUGACGCUGAGGUUCGAAAGCGUGGGUAGCAAACAGGAUUAGAAACCCCAGUAGUCC
rnacentral:rRNA from 1 species